rnacentral:sRNA from 1 species
UGAUGUCGAUAACUAGGUUUCUCUUGUC